GAAUGUGGCAGUAAUCUGGUUAUGGCAUCUCUCUCUCCUUUACCGCUAAUAGUUAAUUCUAGCUGAUCUGAUUAGCUGAACAGAUAUCCCCUUCAUUUCUUAUGUUUCAUGGACUUUGUCACUGAAAACAUAUAUUCAGUGGAAGGACAUAACUUUCCUAUCAGAGAACAAUUCUUUGGUUAAGAAUGUGUAACAGCUCUCCUUUGCUAGACAUUCAAAUAUGCUCCAAAAGUUUACAGAACAUUGUCUCAAAGAGAUAAACAUACCUAAUCAAGCUCUCUCU
rfam:Otolemur garnettii contig002688, whole genome shotgun sequence.